GGAUUGAACGCUAGCGGGAUGCUUUACACAUGCAAGUCGAACGGCAGCGCGGACUUCGGUCUGGCGGCGAGUGGCGAACGGGUGAGUAAUAUAUCGGAACGUGCCCAGUAGCGGGGGAUAACUACGCGAAAGCGUGGCUAAUACCGCAUACGCCCUACGGGGGAAAGGGGGGGAUUCUUCGGAACCUCUCACUAUUGGAGCGGCCGAUAUCAGAUUAGCUAGUUGGUGAGGUAAAGGCUCACCAAGGCGACGAUCUGUAGCUGGUUUGAGCGGGCUAGCGACGCGCUAGAAGUGAGACAGCCAGACUCCAGGAGCAGC
rnacentral:rRNA from 1 species